AUAGGACUCAUAUAGUGCCAG
rnacentral:miRNA from 1 species